rnacentral:rRNA from 1 species
AUUGAACGCUGGCGGCAGGCCUAACACAUGCAAGUCGAACGAGUGGCGGACGGGUGAGUAAUGUAUGGGGAUCUGCCCGAUGGAGGGGGAUAACUACUGGAAACGGUAGCUAAUACCGCAUACCAUCAGAUGUGCCCAUAUGGGAUUAGCUUGUAGGUGGGGGAAUGGCUCACCUAGGCGACGAUCCCUAGCUGGUCUGAGAGGAUGAUCAGCCACACUGGAACGGAGACACGGUCCAGACUCCUACGGGAGGCAGCAGUGGGGAAUAUUGCACAAUGGGCGCAAGCCUGAUGCAGCCAUGCCGCGUGUAUGAAGAAGGCCUUCGGGUUGUAAAGUACUUUCAGCGGGGAGGCGUUACUCGCAGAAGAAGCACCGGCUAACUCCGUGCCAGCAGCCGCGGUAAUAC